GUUCCUUUUCCAUCAUAUUUUCAAUCAAGAAGAGGUCGAUCAGGAUAUCAGCAAAGAAAAAAUGUGAAAACGUUUACAAAAGACGUUGUAUGUUUGCCAUUUUCUCCAAGGGAAUCAGUUUUCGUCAUACCUAGAGGAGAAAACAGAAGUCGCUUGGCUCAAGCUGGUCUAAUUGGAAAAAUUUCCUUUACCACCGAGUGGUCUGAAGAUCAGCUCAGAGAAGAAAUUUCUGCUAUCUUCAGAGGAGCAUUUGGCAUCUCCGAGCAUGAUGUUUUCCCUUUUCAGUUCUUGAGCACAAUAAAAGGGUGCAAAAAAUUAAUGAAGCCCAAUGUCACACCCAACUUUCCCUGGGGGGGGGAAAGAAGUUUCUUCUGUUUGCUCAAAUACCUGUCUUUACAUUAUGGCUGAAAUGGAAUUGCCAACACAGCAUAGAGUUUUUGACACGGAUGACAGUGACUUUGAAAGUCCAACUUUUCAGAGGAGAGAUCUUGAGACAUUGGAGCAAUCUAAUGUUGACGGUCAAUAUGAACCAAUGGAGGCAGAUGCCACAAAUCGAGAACAUGAGACCGAACAAGGAGGCACUCGUUUCUCUGAUUUCAUGUAUGUUUUAUACUGGAUUUGUUAGAAAAACCAGUUCAUUUACAUUUUUUUCGUCCAAUUUAGCUUUU